AGUAGGCUUUCAGCGUGCGCUGGCAGAGCGCCGAGCGUACGCAGUCGUCUUUGGUGAAGCGCACAAUACCUAUCAUUUCAUCUUCUUCAAAACGGGCCAGCGCAUCGCUAAGCCCGGACUGAACGCCGCGAGGCAGGUCACACUGGGUGAUGUCCCCGUUCACGAUAACCGUGACGUUCUCCCCGAGGCGAGUU
rfam:Kluyvera ascorbata ATCC 33433 GKAS.assembly.090, whole genome shotgun sequence.